CAUCAUUUUGUUCAGCAAUUGUCAUAAUGCUGUCAUAUGGUUUGAUUGCUUUGAGUGUGAAGGAUUAUCCUUUCUUUCUGGGACAUCCUGUAUAUAAACCAAGUGCCAGCUAUUAUUAGAUCAUCCAUGAGCUUCACUGCAUAUAAAAAUUCAGAUUGGUUCCCGGAGAUGCCAAAAUUAGCCAGCAAUUUGGACAUAACAUACAUAAUAACAGUACAUGCUAACCUAUUUUCCUCGGUUACUUGGUACAUGAGAAAAGGAAGAAACACUUCAAAUAUGUUGGAUAAGAUUGGUUUAUUCUAAUAUUUAUUUCGGAUAUACAUAUUUUAAUGUGGUCAUCACACACAAGUAGAAACUACAUGGACAGGUAGACAAUAAAAACUGGAAAAUAUAACUUACUCUCGCCUUUUUGAUUCUGUCAUUGCUUUAGCUGGGAGAUGUCGUCCAUCAAAUACUAAGAUUGGUUUUAUGUUCUUAGACAGAAGCAUUGUCACAUAUUUCAAACAGUACUUUAUAUGCCUGCAAAAUAAAUGUUGUAUACUUGUUAUAAAAUAAAUACAUGAUGUAAUGGGACAAUUUAGAGACCUUAAAAUACAUAAAUAAUACAUAAACAGAAAAUAAUAUUUACUUAUUAAGCUAAGCAAAUACAAGUAGCUUUCUUGACUUUAAGCAUUUGACUCAUAGAUUCAGCAUAUUAGAUAAUUUUAAUUAUGAAACAGUGCAAUUUUUUUUUAUCAUGAAUAUUCCUAUAUUUGUUGUCAGGAAUUUUUUUAUUACAUCCUGUAGAUUUGAUUGGACCUCAUUUUUUGACUUGAUAUAAUAAAUGUCACAUUCAA